rnacentral:lncRNA from 10 species
AUGCGAGGCUGGGGCCGGUUGCCUACCGGCCGCUUCUCGCCGAGGCAGUCCAGACUUUUCCCCCGGCGGUGCCCGCUCCAAGACAGCAUCUGUCAACGCUCCUCUUCUCCCCUCCUCCUCCUGCCGGGCCGGGCUCCGCCGGCUGCGGCCGAGAGGACGCGGGACCCGGCGCGGUGAGCCCAUCAGCUGUCAGGCGAGCGGCGAAGCGGCUGGAGGGCGGCGAGAGACACACAAAGAACGCGGUGGGCGGCGGCGGCGAAAGGGGACGGCAACUCCUCCCCGCGCCCGCCGGUGCCACCGCCGGCCGUGCUUGUUCCGAGGCCGCGCAGACAAUGCGGCCGGGCUCGUCCCCGCGUGCCCCAGAGUGCGGAGCGCCCGCGCUCCCCCGACCCCAACUUGACCGUCUCCCGGCUCGCCCAGCCCCCUCCCGGGGUAGGGGCGCCCCCUCCCUCCGGUGGCCGGCGAAGGAAGUCGGUCCGCGGCCGCAGAUCCCGGCAACUUGCGAACCGGGAAAAGUUUGCGGCGCCUCCGCGGGGCGGCGCGACGCGGCCCGCCCCUCGCGUCCGCGGUCAUCGCGGGUGACUUUCUCGACUCGUCGUCAGCCGGGGCCGCAGCGCGGCCGGUGGGGACUGCGGGGCGGGCCGGAGUCCGUCCGAGGGCUCCCGCACCUCGGGCUGCGGAUUUCAGGUACUCCACUGGGCAUUUUCUCUUCAUGGAGCUUAUAGCAACAAAAGUGUUUUACAAAACACCAGACAUGUUGGCAUCAUCUCUUAGUUGGGCCAUGUGGCCAGGGAACCCUUCAUGAAACCACCUCUGCAGUCCUGGAGAGUUGCUGUAGAAGAAGGAAAAGAGAGGAAGACAACACAACACAGGAGGGGAUAAGUACCUCUGGACACAAUGGAAGUAGUAGUUGUUGAGCAGAGGGAAAGGGAUAGGAGAAGGAUGUGGACUGCAGUGCUGCAGUGCCAGGUAAUAACUUUGAUCAUGUACCUCCUUGGCUCAGGUGCUGUCUCUUCUACUCUCCUCCUUACUUGUACUACCUUAUUUAGCACUUAAUUAUAUACUUUCUUGACUCACUUUGAGACACACUGAUUAUGUGGUCUGCCUCAAAGACAGAAUCCUAGUUUUGGAUUUUAGCAUUACUGAUCUAUAGCCUUGCAGGGGCUUAAGGAUGGCAGCUGUCUCUCUCCCUUGGGAUCUAGCUUUUGCAAAUAUUGAAGGGAAGAGAUUUCUUUGAUCUUAUAGGAAUAGAUCCACAGUUCCUCUCCAGAUUUGCUUUUAUAGAGAAGUGUGUGUCACCAAAACAAUGGAGAUACGGUCAGAGAGGCCCCUACCCCCAGAAUUUUAAUAUAAUUUUACUUUCUGGGGCAUUUAUUCUUGACAAAUACUUUCUCUCCUAUCAGCUCACUUGUUCCUCACAAAAACCCUAUAAGAUAUUAAUAUUAUUAAACAGACCCCUAUGAAGCACCUCAAGUCUUUCUCUCUUCCCACUUCCAUUCUUGCACACCUUUUGCUAGACUAGUCUCUGCGUUCAUCACAUCAGGUUUCUAAAAUAAAAGUCCCCUAAUAACUUUCUAUUUGUUCUCUCAUCAUAUUGAACCUUUUUUGCCUGGCUUAUAAGGUGGCCUUAAAACCCCAUUUUCCUCUAAACAUUGUCUCUGUAGUUCAGGAAUAUGGCAGGCUCAACACUAUGCUUGAGCCCAUAUUGCUUCCCUCAUUAGUGAUGCCUCCUCUCAGACCACCCAGAUUCUACUCAUUCUUCAAUUUCCAGCUUCUCCUUGGAGCCUUCCCAGAUCAUUAGCUUCUUAAAAAUCCCAGCUUUCUCUGAAUUCUGAUGGUAGCCCCCGUUAUUUGGACAAUUAUGUCCUGGUCUUAAAGUCCUAAUGGGAAAAAAAAGUACAUGAUGGACUUCAUGUAGAGAAGAAAGCACUGGACUGAGUUUUAAGACAGCUGCUAAGGAGCUGUGUGAGCCAAACCAGGUUACUUUACCUCUCUGGAUCUAUAUUUGCUGAUCUGUUAAGUGGAGACAAUUGGGUCAGAUAAUCUUGGUGGUCUUUGCUUAUUCUGAGGUUCUUGGACAACUUGGCCUAGUUCACGUGGGAUGGGAUUGAAGAUCUUACUGAGUUCUUGGAUGGAAAUGUCAGUAAUGGGCACUUAGUGCCUUCAGGACUUGUUCUAUACUAUCCCAGAAAUUUCUGAUGCUAAACUUGGCAAUUUUUAAAUGUCAUAUUCCUUUUCUCCAAACUCUUUAACCACAAGAAUUCAGGGAAGGUUAUGGGGGGUGACUUAGUUAUCUGGAUAAUACAUAUUGUGGACAAUAUAGCAUUAUCCUUGGGAAUGAUUUCAUAUUGUUGAAUAAAUAGGAUCAACUUCUUGAUAAACCUUAGUCCCAAGCAUUUCAUCUUCAUUGGAUAGUGUUACAUAGUAAUAUAUUUAUGUUUUCUUUUAAUCAUUUCAUAACUUGGAAAAUACUAACAUAGUCAAAACUCUAGGGUAGGUGAUACAUGAGUUUCUGUAGUAAUCUGGUUGGAGACAUGUUGUAAUUCUGUAUAUAUAUGUACAUUUAUCCCAUGCAUGUUAUGCCUAAACUAAGACGGAUACCCCUGAAUUAAGAGGUGCUGUUAUACAUUGACCAGGCUUAAGAAUAUCUCUUUAAAGUGUGUCGACAUUUAAUUGACCUUUGGAAGUUCAUUCUGUUAAUCAUACUCAAAGUGCUAAAGCUAUGGUUGACUGCUCUGGUGUUUUUAUAUUCAUUCGUGCUUUAGCAUAUAAAUUCUUCAGCAUAAUUGCUACUUAUUUAGCAAGAGUUUCCUUUAUUUGAAAAUGUGAGUUGUGCUUGUAUUUUUGUGUCUUUCUUUCUUUCUUUCUUUUUUUAAACUUUGCUUCAGGCUGGGUAGUGGUAGAGGUUUGAAUUAAAAUGUUUUCCUGUCAGUAGUUGUAUGAGGUGUGGCUUCUUAAUCUAGAAGUAAUGGAAAUUUCUUGCUUAAAUGAAGUGCACUUUUCUUCCUGCAGAAGUUAGAACUCUUUUAGACAAGCUUAACACUUCAAAACUGUAUAUCUUUAACAGAAACUUUUGGAAAUUUUUAAAUUCCAUUUGUGUAGAUUAAAAAUAUCAAUGCUAAUACUUUCUAUUAAAUAAGGAUUUAUCUAUUUUCAUAAAACCUCUAAUUAUAUUCCUUGAAUUGCUAUGAGUAGAAUUUUGUUGUAAACACAAUAUUUUUAAAAAGUCAAAUAUAUUUUAAAAAUCUUAACAUUAUAUUACUAUAACUUAGAGAACAGGUGUUUACAUGUUUAAAAUUUUCUAGGCCUUAAAUUUGUGAAAUCAGUCUUUCAGAAGUUAUUUUUAAUAUAGUUAUCUGUGUUACAGGUUUAUAAGUUGACAUUUCAAUUUAAAAUUUUUUCAAUUUAUAUUUCAAUGACCAGGAAAAAAUAGUUAAACUUAUUCCUAAAUUUUAAUAGAAAAAUAAAAAACCACAUAGUUGUUAAUUUCUGGUAAUUUAUCUUGAGACUCCAGGCAUGUUUUUAGAACAUUUUUACCUUAAAAGCAAUUUUGAAAUAGGGAAAUUAAAGUUUAAAGCAGAGUUUUCACUUUAAUGAGGUAAUUUUAUACUUCCCAGAUAGGUAGGCCCAUAUUCAAGAACACUCUGAUCUCUGUUUAUAGUAAGUUUUGAUGCCAUUAUAUCAUUUACUUAUUCACGCAUUAUAAGCAUAGUAGAUAGCCCCAUUGUCACGAAGCUGGCAUUAUUUUCUUGUCUGUCAUUCAAUAUUGUCCCCUUUUUUUUUUCUGUUUUCAUCAUAGCCGUCCUUUUCAUUUUAUUGUAGCCCUGACUCGAAAUGAAAGUAAGUUUGAACUCUUAAAAAAGAGUUCCUCAAACUCUUUUUUAAGAAUAUACAGUGAAAUGUCUUAAAUAAUAUUAUCUAAAUAAUACCUAAAGAAUGCAAAUGACUUGCAAUGCUGAAUAGUCAGACACAGGAUGUUCCAUGCUAAGGGUAGACUCAUAUUUCCACUUUAUAAAAUGUGGUUUCAGAAAACAAAUAGAUGUGUUUCUUCCUUAAUAAUUAGUGUUUCAGGACCAAAGUUGACUAAAUAUGGAAGUUUAAGAUAAAACCCGGUUUCUUAGGGAAUCUUUCUCAGUCCUUAGUAAUUCUGUAGAAUUGAUGAUAGAGUGGCAACUUCAAUACACUCAGUAUUCUUUUCUGUUUGAAGUCUGUUUUGCCAUUGGAAAAAACUUAUUGUUGUUUGAAUUUGGGUAUAUGUAUUCACAGAUGGUUUACUUUAUUUUUAUUUUGUUUAAACAAAUACUUUCAUGUCCCAAACACUGAGACAUGUUUCAUGUCCUAAACACUUUAUAAAUAUUAGAAUAUUUAAUCCCCUUAACUCUGUAGUUAUAAUUAUCUUCAUUUUACAAUUGAGAAAACUAAGAUACGACGUUUUAUUUAAUGGUAACGCCUUAAGUAAGGGGAGAGUGAUAAGUGUAAGCAGAGUGGAAAACUUAGUAGUGCUAAGGAGCAACAGAAGUAUGUGCAAGAGUUUGGGAAGAUGUGUCUGCUUGGAAAGGAUCAGGGACUCAGCUGGGAUCAGUCUUAAAGAGCAACAUGUCCUCAUUCCUCAAUUUUAAGCCUUUGGGCUCUAGAAGUAAAGGGCAAACUUAGAGGAGGCACUCCUCAGGUUUCAGCUGCCUGUUCCGGCCUGGUGAGGUGGCUGUACUGGCUCAUGUGUUUCUCAUAGGGCUACAUGAGCCUUUAUGUCUUACCUCCUCCUCAUUUCUUGGCUGACUCCUGCUUUUUUGGAGGGUUUAACUUCUCUCUCAGCUAGAAGGUUAGGCAUUGCAAAUACCAGUGGAUAAUUUUUUUCUUAGCUUUAACCCCAGCCCAUUUCAACCCCCUCUUUGCCCUUUGUAUAUUCUUUUGAAAAUAUGAUCCAGUAGUGUUUAUGAAUGUGUGUUGUGUAAAAUUUAGAGAUUGAUGUUAAACAACAGAAUUAAAGGACAAAGCUGUCUUUUUUGUUGGAAUUGGGGAUGGGAGAGCAGCUCAAAGUGGGAAAUAUGGAGAAAGGAGAGACAUUGUGGAAAAGAAGAGAUAAAUUGAGGGGAAAAAAAGAGGAUGAAAAAAUGAAGAGAGAGAAUUACUGAUGUGCUUCACACCCACACCUCCUCUCCAACUUCACAGUAACAGAGGCAAUGUCACUAUCUUUUACCUGACAAGUGCUUUACCAGGGAGUUGUGCCUGGCAUCGUGGGAGUGGAAAAUUUUUCCCUUUUGCAUUUUGAGACUUGGGUGUGCUGCUUUAAGAUGCCACUGGUAUCUAAGUAAUGUUUGUUUAUACUGGAUAUUUUUCUCUGUAGCCUUUGUGGAUUGGACUUAUAAUAUAAACAAUAUUGUUAGCAGAACUGCAGGUACUCUAUUGCUAUGUUUAUUUUAUUAGUUAAAAAACUACCAGAGCCCUAGGACUUCUGAGCACAUUUAGAAAAUACCAGAGGCAAUUUUAAGACUAGCAUUAGAAAGAAAGAAAAGAAUAAGAAUAAAACUAAGACUUGCAUACCUUAGAAUCCUAACCAAUGUGGUGAUUUUUAAAAAUUAAUGUUUCAGAGACUCUAAAUUAGGGUAGUUGGUUUCAUCAAUUACAUUUUUUAAGUUAAUAUAAAGUGCUUUUGUAUGUAAAUUCUCUUAAUAGAUAAUUUAGGUAAAAUGAAAGUGUGGCAUUUUUUGUUCCAUAGAAUGUAAAACUAACGUCAGAAUAAGAAUUCUUUUGGGAAUUUAGGAUUUUUUUGAUGCUUCUCAAAUCAUCUGUAAUGACUUUUAUUUAUAGAAAAGGUAGAUUAUUCAUUAGUUUUUAUGAAAAACACUCAGUUUAAAUAGCCGGGUAUGGUGGCGCAUGGCUGUAGUCCCAGCUACUCAGGAGGCUGGGCACGAGAAUUGCUUGAACCUGUGAGGCAGAGGUUGCAGUGAGCCAAGAUCGCACCACUGCACUCCAGCCUGGUCCAGAGUGAGAUUCCGUCUCGAACAAAACAAAACAAAAAUAUUGAGCUAAUCUAAAUGGUAAAAAUCUAGAUUUGAAGAAAUUUAUUUUAAAAUAGUUGUUCAUUUGUCAAAUAGAAAAGUAUGAUCUUAGCAGGUUUGGUUAGAUCCCUAUCUGAAACAAAGUAAACUAAAGAUGUUUUUCUUGAUCAAUGCAUAGCAAUAACUGCUGUUCAAACAUGUGAGGAAUCACCAGUAAAUUGGGGGAUAGAAAGCAGGAAAAGGAGCUUUUUUCUCUUAUUUUUUUUCAUUUAUCAGUUUUUCCCAUUUGUCCAUCCUUUCCUAUAAUCAUGGAAAUUUUUAUUUUUUACACUCCUCUCCCCAUUUUUUUAUCCUAGAUUGCCACCACACCAAGGUUUUCUAGAGUUAGGCAGAAAGAGAACCUGGGCCUAGAUGCUAAUGGAAACUAUCCCAUGCUUUCUCAGACUCUCUUUCCUCCCCAGAGACAAGAGGAGCAAAACAGGAGUUGAUGGCUCAUUGCUGUUGCUUCUGUGGCUGCCCUGUUUGGUUGACCUGAGCUUUUUUUAAAAACCUCCACUCUUGACGCUUAACUCUAUGAAUAAAAUUAGGGCCAGUCACACUGUAUUUUCAUCAUCAGUUAUCCCUAGUGAUUCAAAUUUAGCACAAACCUGCUGUGAGUACAUAUUAAUUAGGUGAAUACAGUAGAAUGCAAUCAUAACAUGAGUCUUUUAAUAACUAUUCUUUGUUUGAUUUUUAUUUUAGAAGUUUGAAGUUAUUUUGUUGAAAAUCUAGAAAAUCUUUAUGUGAGCAACUGAGGUUCGGGUAGCCCACAACAGUUUAAAUCAAACAUUAACUUGCAGUAAAACACUACUGAAAGUGUCUUUGAUUUUGAGGUGCAGAGAGCUGUUUCAAGUUAAGUUGCUAUAUUAGUCUGUUCUCAUGCUGCUAAUAAAGACAUACCUGCAACCGGGCAAUUUAUUAAAAAAAAAAAGAGGUUUAAUUGACUGACAGUUCCACAUGGCUGGGGAGGCCUCACCGUCAUGGUGAAAGAGCAAGGGAUGUCUUACAUGGUGGCAGGCAAGAAGUUUGUGCAGAGGAACUCCUGUUUAUAAAACCACCAGAUCUCAUGAGACUUACUCACUACCAGGAGAACAGGAUGCGGGAAACCACCUCGGUGAUUCAGUUAUCUGCACCUGGCCCCACCCUUGACACAUGUUGAUUAUUACAAUUCAAGGUGAGAUUUGGGUAGGUACACAGCCAAACCAUAUCAGCUGCCCAUUCUCCUGUGCAGUGACAUAAAGGUCUGAUAACCUGAUUUAAAGCUUGGACUCUAAGAUUUUUUUUUUUCUUUUUUUGAGUCAGGUUAUCUCUGUCGCUCAAGCUGGAGUUCAGUGGCAUGAACAGGGCUCAUUGCAGCCUCAACCUUCCAGGUUCAAGUGAUUCUCUUGCCUCAACCUCCUGAGUAUCUGGGGCUACAGGCAUGUGCCACCGUGCCAGGCUAAUAUUUUUAUUUUUAUUUUUGUAAAGAUGGGGUCUCACUUCUGGGCUCAAGCAAUCUUUCCUCAGCCUCCCAAAGUGCUGGGAUUAUAGGUGCGAGCCACUGCACCCUGCUGUAAAGAAUUUCAUAUCCCUGUUUUCGGUGUGCUGUGUCACUGUUUGCCAUGGGUAAAGGUAUAUGAAUCUCUUUUAUUUUGCUGCUUGCAACCCAAUUCCCAUGCCAAACCCAAUUUGUAUCCAAACAAACAAUAUUGGAGACAAGUUCUUCUAUAGAAAGCUUCAUAAGCCAGUUACUGACUACUGUGUCUGUAAAUAUACUCAAACUAUUUUGUAGUCUUGCUAUUUUAAAAAAUGUGUGGGUGUGGGAAGUGAUGUUGAAUGAAUUCAGGGUAAUUGGUGGUUCUUUGUAUUAGGAAAACUCACUAGUUAAGGGAAGUCUGUUUUCAUGAUUCAUGUAUGUUUAACUUAAAAAAAAAUUCUUCCAUCCUUCUCUCCAGUUUCCACUCUACCUCAUAAAUUCAAGUAAUGAAGGAAUUUAAAUAAUAGAAUUUUAUAACUGAAAGGAUUUUGGAGAGAAUCUAUUAACCCUCCUACUACAGUUGAGGAAAUAGAUGUCCAGUGAGGUCAAAUGAGAUCAUGUAGCUAGUUUAAAAACCCAAAUAACAUUUUAGUAGUUUGUUUCCAUUAGUAAACACUGUUCUGUUUGAUUUGCCCUAACAUGUUCAUAAUCAGAGUCAUAAUAAGGAAAAAUCACUAAUAUGUGUGUGGUACUUUCUUGUGCAUACCUCAGUCACUUCUCAAAAGAGGUCUGUAAGGUGUCGGUAUCCUGGUUUCCAUUCAGGGAGAGAACAGUCUAUGAGCCUAAGAGACCUGUCUGUGCCAGUCACUAUCAGAACAGUCUAAUGCUAUGUGUCUUCCUACCUUGGCAAAAGCAUUGGCUGGUCUCUGGACAGUUCUCAUAGACCACAGGAUUGGGCAGGGGGGAGCCACAUCUUCAUGUUAGGGCUCUAACCUGUACCAAUUAUUAACUGUUGUCUCUAUUUCAUCAUUUCUUAAAGGGAAAAAAAAGCACUUUUUAAAGAGCAUGAGAUUUUAAAUUUUUCAAAAGAAGGAUGCUGGAUCAUUAUAAGUAAGGCAUGUUUUAAAGAUCUUCUUAUCAACAGCUUAAAAAUUAGCCAGUAUAUACUGAACAUCCACUGUAUAAAAAGCACAUUAUGGGGUGCUCCAGUAGGUACAGCAGUGAUCGAGACAGAAUCAUAGCCUUCAGGGAAGAGGUAUAUGCAAUGUUCUCUCCUUCCAAAGAUUACCUAGAUAGAGAACUGUUCAUAAGAAAUAUCUUGGUACUGUCUACAUUACUCUUGAGAUAUAAAAUAUAUAUUAUUUCUUACGUCUGAAAUGAGUCAGUUGUUUCUAAAACAAUUUGUAUUAAAGUAUUCACAUUAAAAAUUUGUAAAAUACAGAAAAGUAGAGAGAAAAAAUCAUGAAUUUUUAACAUGGUAAUGAUUAUAUCAGUUUCGUUCUUGGCGUUUCUUUAACUUGAUGGGAUAGCUAAUGUUUUUUGUCAUUGCAUAGCUUUGUAAACUUGUCCUAAGGAUUAUAUAAUUUCAGCAUGAGUUAGUUUCUAAGUAUGUCAGAAAUCUAGCUUUUUUGUGGUAAUUGUUGUUUUACACAAAAUGAUUAAUAAAAGACUCUAAACUAACCUUGGCUUUAGAAAUGCUUUUUAAAUUUUAAAAUAGUGAAUGAGUAGCAGAUUACUUUCUAGUAUUUCUUUAAGGUCACCAAAAUCACUUAACUUGCUUAAAAUAUUGAUGGAAAUAUCAACUACGUACAGUUGACCUAAAUUAGAAAUGGGUGUUUUUUAAAUAGUGAAAUUUAUAAAUAUAAUAUGUAUAUUUUAAAAUACAGUUUAUAUUAUAGAGUUAUGUUCCUCUGUAAUAAUUUCUCUUUACACUGAAUCAUGUUCAGUUUUUAUUAUGCAGAUAAUUUAAUCUUACAGCUUUGAUCUUUUUUAAAAAAUAAAACAGCCAUUUGGAGUCUAAA